rnacentral:rRNA from 1 species
GAUGAACGCUGGCGGCGUGCCUAAUACAUGCAAGUCGAGCGAACAGACGAGGAGCUUGCUCCUCUGACGUUAGCGGCGGACGGGUGAGUAACACGUGGAUAACCUACCUAUAAGACUGGGAUAACUUCGGGAAACCGGAGCUAAUACCGGAUAAUAUAUUGAACCGCAUGGUUCAAUAGUGAAAGACGGUUUUGCUGUCACUUAUAGAUGGAUCCGCGCCGCAUUAGCUAGUUGGUAAGGUAACGGCUUACCAAGGCAACGAUGCGUAGCCGACCUGAGAGGGUGACAGGCCACACUGGAACUGAGACACGGUCCAGCCUCCUACGGGAGGCAGCAGUAGGGAAUCUUCCGCAAUGGGCGAAAGCUUGACGGAGCAACGCCGCGGGAGUGAUGAAGGUCUUCGGAUCGUAAAACUCUGUUAUUAGGGAAGGACAAAUGUGUAAGUAACUAUGCACGUCUUGACGGUACCUAAUCAGAAAGCCACGGCUAACUACGUG